rnacentral:lncRNA from 1 species
AAAGGUACAACUACCUAGUUCUAUAACCGCCUCUAAAGGAUGUGGAUGCACCAUCAACUGCGAGAUUAUUUCACGUUUACCCUAUGAGUCCACACUAUGCUGGUUCAAGGACAACAACGGUGUAGAUGAACCUGUUAUAGUCGACAGUAAAAAGUAUCAUGGUUCAACGAUAGAAUUUCCAUCCCUGGUUAUUUCAAAUGUUGAUAAAUGUGAUGAAGGAUUCUAUUCCUGUCGAAUUGUGUACCCGACUAACUAUCAGUACGAAGAAGAUACUGAAGCAGUGGUAUGGCCUAAAACAUACCUACACGUUAACAAUCAAUGAUAAACAUUAAACAAAAUCAGUCUGUAAAAUCUUCCAAAAGAUUUAGUUUUAUUAGAAUUCUUUCUUUUCAUAAAGAAGCCAAAAAGCAAAAACCAUGUUCCUUUUUGUAGAAUUUGGAGUUUUUGACAUUGACAGUAUUGUUUUUUUUUAUGCAAUGUGUGAGUGUGUUAAGUUGUUGAAAACUUCACUGGAGCUUGUUAGAAAAAUAUUCAUCUAAUAUUUGAUCAUACUUACCACAGUAAACUUUAUAUAAAACGUCACAUUAGUUUAGGCAUCAAUGUCUUACCAAAUACAACGUGUAACUACAUUUUUACUUGCGACGAAAGUUAUUACACAAUGUUUCAGGGACAUUAGUUGAACACAUGUUUACCCAUUCGGGAACAAAUGAUCACCGUGGCCAUCUUUCGUUAUGCAUGCUCAUUACAAGGACAAAAAUACAUUAAUACGACAUGUUUGUCCUGCAAACCUCUACGCAUGCAUCAGAUUUAACGUCUCAUUUCGACUACACAUGGAUGGAUGUGUUUUAGAUAACUUGAAUAAACAAAUGGGAAACCUACUUUUACCAACGUGUUACUGCAGAACGAAAGAAAUUACAAAAUGACCAUAUGUUUAUGUGUACUUGAACUUCAUCAAACAAGUUAACAUCGAAAAUUUGGGACAACAUGAUAUCGAUUUUGGGGUACUCAACAUGUAUUACUUUAAUUUCACAAUCACGUGAAAAUCAAACCAUUUUGAAGUCUUCAUAUCGACUUAGGAGUACACAACAUAAUUAUGUUUCUGAUAUUAUGAACAUAAAUCACGUGGUCUCUCUCACUAUUUGUCGUCUCUCGUCUGAUGUUGUCGUCGCUGAAAUACUCUCCUCUGGAACCACCGGUUUAAUCUUAGCUAAACUUGGCCACAAUCAUCGUUCGGGCAAACAACAAAAAAUGCCGAAAAAUAAAACAAAUAAUUUGUAAGAUGCAAUAUAUUUUGUACGUAAUAUCAAAUAUUUAUUGCGCUUUUUAGAACCUUAACUGAUUAACAGAACACUUUUCCAUAUGCACGUUAUAUCCCUGUUUUCUGUUUUUAUUGUUUUCGCAUCUUCUCAAAAAGCAUAAGAGUUAUCGUCAGUUUAAAUUUUUACAAACUGGUUGUUACUUUCUACGGUUGAUUUGCUCUCGACCUAUAUGGAAUUUACUGACUCCCUAUAUAUCAUAUAAAGUCUACUAUCAAACUGUGUUACAAGUAAUACUCUUCUUGUAAUAUCCAUAAAAAUUAUGAUCAGAAUAAUCACAUAAUUAUUCUCUUUAAUAUACUUGCAAUUGUAUGCUCCAUAUGAUCAGAUUUAUCACACAUAACAGUACUAUAUUCUCAUUGUAUUAUCCAAAUGGUCAAUAUGUAGGACUCUAAAGUGCGAUGGGGACGCUAAAGUGCGAUGGCCACGCUAAAGUGCGAUGGUAUACGCUAAAGUGCGAUGUCCCCGGUCGCUAAAGUGCGAUGGUCUGCGAAAGUAUAUUUGAAAGCGACGUUAUUUCAUUAUGACGUUAACAUAUUUUUUUAAAAACAAAAAUGGACAUGCCUGAAAAUCAAUUAAGUAUUUUUGACAAUCUUCUUUUACCCGGCAAGGGUUACAAUACUUCACAAUAGGUUAAAGUUUAAUCAAGAGAUGAACACCGGCCCCAGCAGUCCAUGACUUACUGAAUUUUAAAACUAGCUGUGUUAUACCGGCGGAACCAAAUGUAUUUCUUUUUGGGAAUUUUCCUACAAUCGACCAUUUUACUUUACAGUAAAGAUGAAGAAUAGUAGAGAGUGGUUGUUUAACUCUGUAUUCUUCAAUUUUGUCAGACACUUUUCUCUAUUCUUUAUACAUUUUGACCCAUUAUUCUCUAUUUUGUAAACCCUAUCCACACCUUGUGUCCUGUUUCUGUUGCUGGCUAACGGGUACAUUUAUAUAUAUAAUACUGUUAAAGUCGUUCAUCGUUUAAAUUAUGUUGAUAUAAUUGAAAAUCAACGUCAGUGGAAAAAAAGGCAUACGUUCAAGCGAAUAAGAUUUAAAAACAGUAUUCGUAAAUUAUAAAAGUUAUGUGUGAGCCCCCUAUACUCGCUACGAAACAGAAGAAAAACCUCCCCUUUUUCUCCGUUUUUCAAAGUACAAAUCAUAGUUAUAUUUCCGACAGACUAUGUACAAAUCUUGUAUAUUUUUUUUAUGUACACAAAAUGUUAUUAAUUUAGACUGAAAUUGAAGAUUGAUAAAAGAAGGUGUCCACUGUACUGACUAGAAAGCUGCGUGAACGGCAUGAUACAUUAAUUAUCCAAAUACUUUAUUUAAUACGCUCGAAUUCGGUUCAGAAACUCUCUUUUAUAUUUUAAAACUCAUGUCUUUUACUUGCAUAAAUAAAGUCUACAUAUAUACUGUAAUUAUUUUGUAUUUACAAAAUGGAUCUCGUGUAAGACAUGUUACAUAGGGCUUACAAGAAUAGAAAAGAGUCUACCUAAUACCAGGAAAAAUUGCUUAAGGAAAUAAAGUCUAAUUAACUUAAGCAUAGUAGAAAAACUUUAAUUUUAAAAGAUCUCUUUCAAACAUUACUGUGCUAUACCCCACUAGCACACUAACUUCUGUAUUCUGACCAUUACAGUGUUUUUGGACAAACACGUCUGUACUUUUCGUUUUAUUUCAUUGUACUUUAGCCUCUGGUAAACAAUCUUACGUAAGUCGCUGCAUGUUAUACCAUCGCACUUUAGCGUAAGACACCAUCGUACUUUAGCGUAGACCAUCGCACUUUAGCGUGACCAUCGCACUUUAGAGUACCAUCGCACAUUAGAGUCCUACAAAUAUAGUGUUCACUCUCUUCUGUUCUAUAUUUUACUAGCAGUUUCUAAAUGCUUUUUUUGAAGAUGAUACUUAACUGUACUAUAUUUUCAGUUGAAUUUUCCAAAUCAUUUAGUAAACCUUCAGACUUCAUUGUAUUAUAUUUUAUUUGUAUUUUCCAGUGGCAGAUUCAGAAAUGUUGAUUAGAGGGGGCCCGCAUCAGUGAUUUCCUAUAUAUUCAACCAAAAUAUAAAGGUGGGUUGGGACCCCUGCCCCCCCCUAAAUCCGCCUCUGUUUCCUAAAUAACUAAACUAAUGAUUACAUUUCAUUGUAUUAUACUUUACUUGUAUUUUCCAAAGGAUCAAUUUAAUGUACACAGUUCAUUGUUUUAAAUUUUAUUUGUAUUUGUAUUUUUGUGCCAGUGACAUAUCCAGAAAUGUUGAUAAGAGGGGGCCCGCUUCAGUCAUGCUUCAGUGAUUUCAUAUAUAUUCAACCAAAAUAUUGCCAACAAAAGGUGAGGUGGGACCACUGCCCCCCCUUCCCCCCUAAUCCGCCUCUGUUUCCCAAAUGAUCAAACUAAUGUUUACAUUUCAUUGUAUUCUAUUUUACUUGUAUUACCCAAAUGAUCAAUUGAAUUUUCACAAUUUACUGUACUUAUUAUGUUUGACUUGUAUUUUCUAACUGAUCAAACCUUAUGUUCACACUUCUCUGUACCAUAUUAUACUUUUUUUCCAAAACAAUCACUUUUUAUAGUGCUAAUUUUACUUGUAUUUGCUGAAUGAAUAAUUUAAGUUCAAACUUCACCUACUAUAAAUUAUUUUUGUUAUCACCAAAGUCCAUAACGAACAUAAUAUUCAUACUUGUAUUAUAUUUGACUUGUUUUUUCCAAAUGAUCAAACUAACAUCCACACUUUGUUGUAUUAUAUUUUAUUUGUAGUAUCAAAAUUACCCACUAAAUGAUUUCAUUGUAUUAUAUUUACUUGUAUUUUCCAAAGGAUCAAUUUAAUGUACACAGUUCAUUGUUUUAUAUUUUAUUUGUAUUUGUAUUUUUGUGCCAGUGGCAGAUCAAGAAAUGUUGAUUAGAGGGGGGCCCGCUUUAGUCAUGCUUCAGUGAUUUCCUAUAUAUUCAACCAAAAUGUUCCCCACAAAAGGUGGGAUGGGUCC